rnacentral:lncRNA from 1 species
UAAAUAACCCUGCUAGUUUUAAAGUUACCACAGAUGACUUUCUUCUAUCUCUUCUUUAAAUAUUUCAAGGUGUGACAUCUGGAAUGUUCCAUGAAAGCUGAGCCUGAGACACAGCUGCAGUGAAGGAACCAAUUUAGGACACCACGCUCAAAGAAAUCAAGACACCCACAGUAUAAUGGUAUUCUGCAAGUGUGUUUGCAUUACACACACCAGAAGUGUCAUCCAUGGCCUUGCAAAGAUGUCACUCAGGGUACCAUCUGCUCCAUCUGUCAAACUGUGGACAAUGCCGUCAUUCACUUAGUCAACGGGCACAACAAGAAUGCAGCCAUAGGACCUUUAAAGUGAUCGUCAUUUUUCCCACAUCGUUAUCAAAGUUAUUUUAUUCCAGUUAUUACACGGGGACGGGCAUGGCCUUCCAGCAAUUAAUGGGCAGCACAAGUCUCAGCAAAGAAAGUGGGCCUGCACAUAAGAGUACCUCUGGGAGGCCUUGGAAAAGUUACUUCUUUGGAGCCCAUCUCCCAGGAUUUCCCUGCCUUGUUGUUGCUUUGUCCAAAAAUGUAACUUUUCGAAGGUCUGAGCUCUGCAUACAGACAGGUGCAUUCAUUCCCACGAUACAUGUGCUUCCUAAGGCAGGGGACGACAGUGGCCGGAGCACGUGUGUAAANNNNNNNNNNNNNCAGAGAGGCCGAGGAGGAGGAAGGCCCAGGGGGCGGCGGCGGCGGCGGCGGCGGCUGGGGUUCCGGCGAAGCGCCCGCCAGGGUCCCAACCGGCGCUGCCAUGUCGCUCCCGCCUUGGUUCGCCUUCGCCGGCCUCUUCCACGCCGACAGUCACACACCCCCUCCUAGAACCGCACUUGGUCUCUGCCGCGCUCACCUCACCGAAUGGAGCAGCCCGCCCAGAGUGAAACGCACUGGCUCGCUCCUUCCGGUCCUGCUAGAGUCACUUUCCUACACUCUGGCUUCCGUUGGCCAGAUUAUUUCCGGCACGAAUGAGAAACGGGACACAUAGACAUACGAAUUAGAGUGACAACUUCCGGUCCGUUUUUUUUUA